rnacentral:misc_RNA from 1 species
GGCCCUGAUCCUAAAAUCUCAUAUGGAGGCGGACACGGCGGUGGAUGAUAAUUAGCAAAUGGUGGCACCGGUGGCCUUUCAUAUGCCAUUGGUCUGUAAUAUUGGUUUCCACAAUAUGGCCUCUCCCAGUAUCCUGGAGCUCCAUAUCGACGCAUAGGCAUCCUUGGAGAGAAUCUACUGCCAGCAGCGCGAUUUGGUUGGUCUUGAAUGUUGGAGAAACAUCCUGAGCUUUGGUUUCAGGGCCCUGGAUAUUGAAUUUACCUUCACCCUUGCUUUUGCUUAACAAACGCAAAAACCAACAAUGUUUCUUGCCUUUCUUGGUGCUGACAGAGGAACGGGCUUGUUCACAAGGAGAUCAGGGUGCUUCCAACUGAUAGUGGCAUUACGACCUUUGGAUGCAUGGUCAUCGUUAGAAUCAGAAUCAUCUAAACAACAAGAAAAAACUUGGUCUUUUUUAUCUUGUUGAAUUUUGUUCUUGUUGUCAGAUUGAGGGAUUGGCACGGGAACUUUGGAUGGAGUCCUUUCCGGGUGACCAGAGCAUUGCUUAUCUACCCCACUUUGCAAAUUUCUGUACGACUAUCUGAGGGCAACCCCUGUUUCCUGUC